UUCAGCGGGGAUAGCACGUUGAAUGUACCAUUUUCCGAUGGAUUAGUGAAGCGAUGUUGCGCAUGGUUGGUAGCCGGAAGGGUGACCAUUUGGGCAGUCGCAUGCUGCUGGCU
rfam:Asian citrus Psyllid, Diaphorina citri - Florida Strain, whole genome shotgun sequence.